AUGAUGAUGAUCUAUAUGAAGAAUGGGUUGAUGAAAAAUUUGAGAAAAAAAAAGAAGAAAUCUGAAUGGGAGCAGGACAGUGACUAUGAUACAGAUGAACUGCAGGAGCUACAAGGUUCAGAGCUUGAAGAUAGUGAUUCAGCAGAGGAAGUGGAAGUAGUAUAUGCACAAGGAAGGAAAAAAAUGAAAAAGAAAGUGAAGCUGAAAAGGUGGAGGCCUGAGAACAUGAAAGAAGUCAAUUUUCACAUAGGCAUGGUGUUCUUGUCUGUCAUUGAACUAAGAGCAGCAAUUCAGGAGUACAUUGUGAAGCAAAGAGUGCAAAUUCAUUACAUAAAGAAUGAUAAGCAGAGGAUAAGGGCAGGUUGUGUUGGAGAUUGUCCCUGGUUCUUAUUUGCUGCACCUGACAGCAGGACCAAAGCAUGGGUUGUGAAGAAGUAUGUGGGUGAGCAUACAUGUGAAAGAGAGUGGGCACUCAAGCAAUUUACAGCAAGAUAUUUGGCUGGCAAGUAUGUGGAAACAUUUAGAGCAGAUGAGAAGAUGACACUGCAAAACUUUGGCAGACUUGUUCAAUUGGACUACAACAUGCAACCUACUAGAAGUAAGCUAGCUAGAGCAAGGAGGAUUGCACUAAAGAUAAUUCAUGGAGAUGAACUUGAGCAGUAUAAUUUACUGUGGGACUUUGCAGCUGAAAUCAGAAGAUCAAAUCCUGGCAGUACCAUGCUUGUGCAUGCAAACAAUGGAAAGUUUGAUAACUGCUACAUGUCCUUAGAUGCAUGCAAAAGGGGUUUUCUGCUAGCUUGUAGGCCCAUUAUAUGCAUUGAUGGGUGUCACAUUAAGAACAAGUAUGGUGGAGUGAUGCUGACAGCUGUUGGAGUUGAUCCUAACGAUUGUAUCUUUCCCAUUGCAAUUGCCAUAGUAGAAGUGGAAGAUACUGUCACAUGGAAGUGGUUUUUGAACACAUUGAAGGAGGAUCUGAACAUACAAAACACAGCACCAUGGACAUUGAUGAGUGAUAGGCAGAAGGUAGUAAGAACAUUGUAG
rnacentral:rRNA from 1 species